CCAUCUUUGAUUGCCCUUUCUUUCUCUAAAUUUAGGUCGGCAAAACGCGAUGGUCGUCAGUUUAUAUGACGAUGCAAAUAAAAAAACAAUUCCUCCGAAAUACGCAGAUGCCGAAAAGGAGUCGCGUGGAAUCCUCACACGGGCAACUGUGAGUGUGAUCAAACAUGGGGAGGAUUACAACCUUGAAUUAGUUUUCGAAGACAAAAGGAAUUUCCAUUUUUCGAACGACUGAGAAUGCUAACAACCAGCUCGGAUCCAACGGAAAAAAGUAUGUUUCACCUCGGAAACCGAAUGACUUACAAAGUGUAACUUGGAAUAAACACGAAUUUUGUUCACAA